GUAGGUGGCAAGCGUUGUCCGGAAUUAUUGGGCGUAAAGCGCGCGCAGGCGGUCCUUUAAGUCUGAUGUGAAAGCCCACGGCUCAACCGUGGAGGGUCAUUGGAAACUGGGGGACUUGAGUACAGAAGAGGAAAGCGGAAUUCCAAGUGUAGCGGUGAAAUGCGUAGAGAUUUGGAGGAACACCAGUGGCGAAGGCGGCUUGCUGGUCUGUAACUGACGCUGAGGCGCGAAAGCGUGGGGAGCAAACAGGAUUAGAUACCCUGGUAGUCCACGCCGUAAACGAUGAGUGCUAAGUGUUAGGGGGUUUCCCGCCCCCCUUAGUGCUGCAGCUAACGCAUUAAGCACUCCGCCUGGGGGAGUACGGCCGCAAGGCUG
rnacentral:rRNA from 1 species